CCUUUAUUUCUCUUAUGCCUUGAAACCAAUGCACAAAAUUGAUUUGAAGAUCAAAGGUGAGGGUUUCAAAAAAGAAAGAAAGAAAGAAAGAAAGAAAGAAAGAAAGAAAGAAAGAAAGAAAGAAAGAGAGAGAGAGAGAGAGAAAGAGAGAGAGAAGGAAGGAAGGAAAAAGAAAGAAAGAAAGAAAGAAAGAAAAGGAAAGGAAAGAAAGAAAGAAAGAAGGAAGGAAGGAAGGAAGGAAGGAAGGAAAGAAGGAAGGAAGGAAGGAAGGAAGGAAGGAAGGAAGGAAGGAAGGAAGGAAGGAAGGAAGGAAGGAAGGAAGGAAGGAAGGAAGGAAGGAAGGAAGGAAGAAAAAAGAAAAAAAGAAAAGAAAUGAAAGGAAAUUAAUAUCCUAUUAAAGU
rnacentral:lncRNA from 1 species